GACGAACGCUGGCGGCGUGCUUAGCACAUGCAAGUCGAACGGAAAGGCCUCUUUCGGGGGGUACUCGAGUGGCGAACGGGUGAGUAACACGUGAGCAACCUGCCCUUGACUUUGGGAUAACUUCAGGAAACUGGGGCUAAUACCGGAUAGGAGCUCCUGCUGCAUGGUGGGGGUUGGAAAGUUUCGGCGGUUGGGGAUGGACUCGCGGCUUAUCAGCUUGUUGGUGGGGUAGUGGCUUACCAAGACUUUGACGGGUAGCCGGCCUGAGAGGGUGACCGGCCACAUUGGGACUGAGAUACGGCCCAGACUCCUACGGGAGGCAGCAGUGGGGAAUAUUGCACAAUGGGUGGAAGCCUGAUGCAGCAACGCCGUGUGCGGGAUGACGGCCUUCGGGUUGUAAACCGCUUUCGCUCAUGACGAAGCUUUGUGUGACGGUAGUGGGUAAAGAAGCACCGGCUAACUACGUG
rnacentral:rRNA from 1 species